rnacentral:rRNA from 1 species
UGGGGAAUAUUGCACAAUGGGCGCAAGCCUGAUGCAGCCAUGCCGCGUGUAUGAAGAAGGCCUUCGGGUUGUAAAGUACUUUCAGCGGGGAGGAAGGUGUUGAGGUUAAUAACCUCAGCAAUUGACGUUACCCGCAGAAGAAGCACCGGCUAACUCCGUGCCAGCAGCCGCGGUAAUACGGAGGGUGCAAGCGUUAAUCGGAAUUACUGGGCGUAAAGCGCACGCAGGCGGUCUGUCAAGUCGGAUGUGAAAUCCCCGGGCUCAACCUGGGAACUGCAUUCGAAACUGGCAGGCUAGAGUCUUGUAGAGGGGGGUAGAAUUCCAGGUGUAGCGGUGAAAUGCGUAGAGAUCUGGAGGAAUACCGGUGGCGAAGGCGGCCCCCUGGACAAAGACUGACGCUCAGGUGCGAAAGCGUGGGGAUCAAACA